rnacentral:rRNA from 1 species
GACGAACGCUGGCGGCGUGCUUAACACAUGCAAGUCGAACGAUGAAGCUGGAGCUUGCUCCGGUGGAUUAGUGGCGAACGGGUGAGUAACACGUGAGCAAUCUGCCCUUCACUCUGGGAUAACUGCGGGAAACUGUAGCUAAUACCGGAUACGAGACCUUGGGGCAUCCCAGGGUCUGGAAAGAAUUUCGGUGAAGGAUGAGCUCGCGGCCUAUCAGCUAGUUGGUGAGGUAAUGGCUCACCAAGGCGACGACGGGUAGCCGGCCUGAGAGGGGGAACGGCCACACUGGGACUGAGACACGGCCCAGACGCCUACGGGAGGCAGCAGUGGGGAAUAUUGCACAAUGGGCGGAAGCCUGAUGCAGCAACGCCGCGUGAGGGAUGAAGGCCUUCGGGUUGUAAACCUCUUUUAGUAGGGAAGAAGCGCAAGUGACGGUACCUACAGAAAAAGCACCGGCUAACUACGUGCCAGCAGCCGCGGUAA